rnacentral:rRNA from 1 species
AAGAGUUUGAUCCUGGCUCAGAUUGAACGCUGGCGGAAUGCUUUACACAUGCAAGUCGAGCGGCAGCGCGGGGGCAACCCUGGCGGCGAGCGGCGAACGGGUGAGUAACAUAUCGGAACGUACCCCGUCGUGGGGGGAUAACACAGCGAAAGCUGUGCUAAUACCGCAUACGACCUGAGGGUGAAAGCGGGGGAUCGCAAGACCUCGCGCGAUGGGAGCGGCCGAUAUCGGAUUAGCUUGUUGGUGAGGUAAAGGCUCACCAAGGCGACGAUCCGUAGCUGGUCUGAGAGGACGACCAGCCACACUGGAACUGAGACACGGUCCAGACUCCUACGGGAGGCAGCAGUGGGGAAUUUUGGACAAUGGGCGCAAGCCUGAUCCAGCCAUUCCGCGUGCAGGAUGAAGGCCUUCGGGUUGUAAACUGCUUUUGUACGGAACGAAACGGCGAGCUCUAAUACAGUUUGCUAAUGACGGUACCGUAAGAAUAAGCACCGGCUAACUACGUG